UCAGAUGGCCGGAUGGCCGCCUUCCGGUGUUGCCGGGGGGAGGAAAGUCCGGGCUCCGCGGAGACACGGUGCCGGGUAACGCCCGGCGGGGGCGACCCCAGGGAAAGUGCCACAGAAAGCAAACCGCCCGUAAGCCAGCCGCCCCACGGGGUGCUGGCGCUUUGCGGGCAAGGGUGAAAGGGUGCGGUAAGAGCGCACCGCGUCGCCGGCAACGGCGAUGGCAGGGCAAACCCCACCGGGAGCAAGACCGCAUAGGGGCGGCGCGCCGCAAGGCAGGCGGGUCUUCGCGCCGGCCGCCCGGGUAGGUCGCGCGAGGCGUCCGGUAACGGACGUCCCAGAUGAAUGGCCAUCGCCCGC
rnacentral:RNase_P_RNA from 1 species